UACAGAGGUCCCAAGCGUUGUUCGGAUUCACUGGGCGUAAAGGGUGCGUAGGUGGUCGGGUAAGUCUGAUGUGAAAUCUCCGAGCUUAACUCGGAAACGGCAUCGGAUACUAUCCGGCUUGAGGAAUGGAGGGGAGAUUGGAAUUCUCGGUGUAGCAGUGAAAUGCGUAGAGAUGUGGAGGAACACCAAUGGCGAAGGCAGCAUCCUGGACCGGUAUUGACGCUGAGGCGCGAAAGCCAGGGGAGCAAACGGG
rnacentral:rRNA from 1 species